rnacentral:rRNA from 1 species
UGGGAAACGGGUUAAUAUUCCCGUACUUCUUACAAUUGCGAUGGGGGGACGGAGAAGGCUAGGUGGGCCUGGCGACGGUUGUCCAGGUUCAAGUGCGUAGGCUUGAGAGUUAGGUAAAUCCGGCUCUCUUUAAGGCUGAGACACGACGUCGAGCACCUACGGGUGUGAAGUCAUUGAUGCCAUGCUUCCAGGAAAAGCCUCUAAGCUUCAGAUUGUAAGGAAUCGUACCCCAAACCGACACAGGUGGUCGGGUAGAGAAUACCAAGGCGCUUGAGAGAACUCGGGUGAAGG